UGCAGACGGCGGGGAACGCUGCCGAGGCCAUCCCCGGCGGCAAGAUGCGGCCGGGGGCGGUGGGGCGCGGCGGAGACUCCUGCCAACAGCUGCCGACAGGCAGAACUGCAGUUGGAACCGAAUAUAAGGAAGAAAAUAGUCUUGGAAACACUUCAAAGCAUGGCGCCUAAGACUCCUUAAGACACCAAGAGGGAAAUAUUAUUCACAUUACCUUACGAGAUGAACACAGAUUUCGGGUGGGAAAGUUUACAUUUCUCUCAUUGACAACCUUGGCAUCAUGAAAAGCUGCUACGUACGUCCAAGCAUUGACAACCAACAAAGGGCUACUAACGAGGACUUUUAGCCACAACAUCCUUCACUAAAACACUCUUGGCACAGAAAAGGCGGCGCUCAUCUCAUCUCCGCGUCUUGGGAGAUGCGGAAGCUGCAGGUCCGCCGCCCGCCGCACGCCGCUUCUACGCUUCCCGACCAAGCUGCCGCCGAGAAAAUUGCUGCCUUUUUUCUAAUGAUUCAUUGAUAACAGGCUUGUUAAUACAUUUAGCACGUAAUAUCAUAUAUUUUGUUAAAGUGUUUUCCGAAUAUCUGGACACUUAGUUUAGUAAAAAACAAUUAACGCACAAGUUAAUAUUAAA